CGAAGGAUCCAAGCGUUGUCCGGAUUUACUGGGUUUAAAGGGUGCGUAGGCGGACUUUUAAGUCAGUGGUGAAAGCUCGCAGCUUAACUGUGAAAUUGCCAUUGAAACUGAAAGUCUCGAGUGUGGUUGAGGUAACUGGAAUAUAUCAUGUAGCGGUGAAAUGCUUAGAUAUGAUAUAGAACACCAAUUGCGAAGGCAGGUUACUGAACCACAACUGACGCUGAGGCACGAAAGCGUGGGGAUCAAACAGGAUUAGAUACCCUGGUAGUCCACGCCGUAAACGUUGAAUACUCGAUCUUAGCGAUACACAGUUAGGAUCCAAGCGAAAGCGUUAAGUAUUCCACCUGGGAAGUACGUUCGCAAGAAUG
rnacentral:rRNA from 1 species